ACGGAAGGCAGCAGUGGGGAAUAUUGGACAAUGGGGGAAACCCUGAUCCAGCGACGCCGCGUGAGUGAAGAAGUAUUUCGGUAUGUAAAGCUCUAUCAGCAAGGAAGAAAAUGACGGUACUUGACUAAGGAGCCCCGGCUAACUACGUGCCAGCAGCCGCGGUAAUACGUAGGGGGCAAGCGUUAUCCGGAUUUACUGGGUGUAAAGGGAGCGUAGACGGCAUAGCAAGUCUGAAGUGAAAUGCAUGGGCUCAACCCAUGAACUGCUUUGGAAACUGUUAAGCUAGAGUGCAGGAGAGGUAAGUGGAAUUCCUAGUGUAGCGGUGAAAUGCGUAGAUAUUAGGAGGAACACCAGUGGCGAAGGCGGCUUACUGGACUGUAACUGACGUUGAGGCUCGAAAGCGUGGGGAGCAAACAGGAUUAGAUACCCUGGUA
rnacentral:rRNA from 1 species